rfam:Salmo salar isolate Sally breed double haploid chromosome ssa09, whole genome shotgun sequence.
GAAUGCACGGACUGUAAGUCGCUCUGGAUAAGAGCGUUUGCUAAAUGGCCAGAA